UACGUAGGGCGCAAGCGUUGUCCGGAAUUAUUGGGCGUAAAGAGCUCGUAGGCGGCUUGUCACGUCGGGUGUGAAAGCCCGGGGCUUAACCCCGGGUCUGCAUUCGAUACGGGCAGGCUAGAGUGUGGUAGGGGAGAUCGGAAUUCCUGGUGUAGCGGUGAAAUGCGCAGAUAUCAGGAGGAACGCCGGUGGCGAAGGCGGAUCUCUGGGCCAUUACUGACGCUGAGGAGCGAAAGCCAGGGGAGCAAACGGG
rnacentral:rRNA from 1 species